AGAGUUUGAUCAUGGCUCAGAGUGAACGCUGGCGGCGUGGAUUAGGCAUGCAAGUCGAGCGAUCUCGCAAGGGAUAGCGGCAAACGGGUGAGGAAUACAUAGGUAAUCUUCCUUUAAAUCAGGAAUAGCCCUGCGAAAGUAGGGGUAAUGCUUGAUAGCAUCAUGAAAACGCAUGUUUUUAUGAUUAAAGAUGGGGACCGCAAGGCCUGUCGUUUAAAGAUGAGCCUAUGUUUUAUCAGCUAGUUGGUAGGGUAAUGGCCUACCAAGGCUAAGACAAGUAGCUGGUCUGAGAGGAUGGUCAGCCACACUGGGACUGAGACACUGCCCAGACUCCUACGGGAGGCUGCAGUCGAGAAUACUUAGCAAUGGACGAAAGUCUGACUACGCGACGCCGCGUGAGGGAUGAAGGUUUUCGGAUCGUAAACCUCUUUUAGCAGGAAAGAAAAUUUCGACAUUAAUACUGUCGAAACUGACGGUACCUGCAGAAUA
rnacentral:rRNA from 1 species